rnacentral:tRNA from 1 species
CGGAAUGAAGGGGAUCUGGCGCCCCGCGUGCCUUGGGAGCACGAGACAGUCGGUUCGAAUCCGACCAUUCCGA